UGAGGACAGAAAGGCAGAAUUCUGGAAUCCUGCAUACAAAUGUGAGAAUGAAGAGUGGAGUGGCUUCACAAAGGAGGAACAGAGAGCUGACAAUGACCCUGUACUCAGAACAGGCCCCAGCUUGUGGUUACAGUGCUCUGUGAGCUAAAGAUGAAGAAAAGCCCCAAGAAACGAAACCAGCAGUUUCAUGAGAAUGACACUCAGCCCCAUGCCUUUUGAUCCAGACAGCAGUGAGUAGCAUGAAUAUUGUUGCUGAGCAUUAUUCUUUAGGAAGAUACUUCUUGCUCCUUAGUUAACCUUCUUCUAAUCUGCUAACAAUAAACACGGUUUAAAAAUAAAAUGAUACACAAUGCAUGUUUUCAAAAUA